UGAGGAUGUAGCUCAGUGGUGGAGUGCUUGCCUAGCAUCCAGGAGGCCCUGGGUUCCAUUCCCAGCACCACAA
rnacentral:tRNA from 1 species